rnacentral:lncRNA from 1 species
CUACAUCCAAUUGUAAGACGAUGAGGAAAUUCCACUAGUAACAUAAGGAGAUUACAUAUGAGUUAAGACCACACUAGGAUAUUGCAGAGUUCAAUUCUAAUAAUCCACAAUCCACAAUCCACAUCCCACAUACACCCAAAUCACUCUCAUACAGAUGAGCCAAGAAUAAAUCUCCUAUUAUUAAUCACAAAUACAAAGACCAAAAGAGGAACAAUACCAAAUUUGAAGCCGCUCAAACAAAAGAGAACAAGAAAUUUUCCUUGCAAGAAUACUGCAACAAACAAACUCACAACGAAACAGACGUAACAUACAAUGUGACAUCAUCCAAAACAAAAAGGAGAAGAUUUCCUUCACUUAAAAAUUAUGUGAGUCACACUUCCUUCGGCUUAGAUGCUUCUGGCUCUCUUAAAUGGUUCCAUAUGGUGGUCUCCACCCAAACAAAGGAGAGAGGUUUUUCUCUCACCAAAU